UAACACCAGCGUCGCGAGUGGGAGUCAUGUUUAUUGGGUCUAAAGCGUUCGUAGCCGGCUUAGAAAGUUCUUUGUGAAAUCGUGUUGCUUAACAUCACGGCGUGCAAGGAAUACUACUUUGCUUGGGACUGGGAGAGGUAAGAGGUAUUUCUGGGCUAGCGGUAAAAUGUUAUGAUCCUAGAAGGACCACCAAUGGCGAAGGCAUCUUACUAGAACAGGUCCGACGGUGAGGAACGAAAGCUAGGGGAUCAAAACGGAUUAGAUACCCGAGUAGUCCUAGCUGUAAACGCUGCGUACUAGGCGUUGCACAUUCUAUAAGGGUGUGCAGUGUCGAAGCGAAGGCAUUAAGUACGCCACCUGGGAAGUACGGUCGCAAGGCUG
rnacentral:rRNA from 1 species